rnacentral:rRNA from 1 species
UACGAAGGGGGCUAGCGUUGCUCGGAAUCACUGGGCGUAAAGCGCACGUAGGCGGAUUGUUAAGUCAGGGGUGAAAUCCUGGAGCUCAACUCCAGAACUGCCUUUGAUACUGGCGAUCUUGAGUCCGGGAGAGGUGAGUGGAACUGCGAGUGUAGAGGUGAAAUUCGUAGAUAUUCGGAAGAACACCAGUGGCGAAGGCGACUCACUGGACAUGUAUUGACGCUGAGGUACGAAAGCGUGGGGAGCAAACAGG